UGAGUGCUGGCAAUUGUCUAAUGUAUCACUGGACUCAUUCCUUGAUGUAAACAAAGAAUUAGAUGACCAGGAAAGACGGAAGACUAAGCCACCAAGAGAGGGAAAGUUACAGUUUUAUCCCUUUGGGGUGGAAGUCUCCUAAACUGAUACUGGCUCAGGUAUUUCACAGGUCCCCUGGGCUCCUCCUUCCUCUUGUUCCUGCUUAGACACGGUCCCUGCGACUUCCUGCUAGUUUCUUCCCACAAUGCCUUUCGAGAACAAGAAGCGGCCAUCUCAGGAGACUCGCUUACCAUUUCCCUAUGCAUGUCCCUCUAAUCUUCCGUCGUAAAUGGAGGUAAAGAUGAUCGAAGUCCACUUUUCCAUGUCAUGAUGAAACCGAGUACUUUGUACAGAUGACAAAGACCAGUUUGAGGCCACUAGAGAGGAGCAUUUCCUCUGUGACACAUGGUUUCCACAGACCAUGAUUCUCUGCGUCCUAGGAAGGAGCGCUUUGGAUGAAGGUCACUUCAGAAGUAAAGGGAACGAAAGGAAGGAAAGAAAAGGGAAGCGAGCAGGAAGUGGAGAUCCACGCCAGUCACUCCAGCUACGCUUACAUCUUGAGGCUGGUGAUUCCAAGUUAAAGGCUAUGACCAAGGCCCUGAGUUCGAUUCUCUACCGCCACCAAAUAAAACAGAAGCCCGAUAAAAAAAAGAGACAAAAGACAUCUCCACCAAAAAUCUGUCAUCCAAGUACUCAGGGGCUUGAGGCAGAGGACAUAGUGAGUUCAAGGCCAGCCUGGGAUACACAGAAAAAUCCUGCUUCAAACAAUAAAAUUCUAAUCCUGACCAA